rnacentral:rRNA from 1 species
CAAUAAGCGGAGGAAAAGAAACUAACAAGGAUUCCCCUAGUAACGGCGAGUGAAGUGGGAAAAGCUCAACUUUGAAAUCUGGCACCUUCGGUGUCCGAAUUGUAGUCUCUAGAAGUGUUUUCCGUGCUGGCCCAUGUGUGAGUCUGUUGGAACACAGCGUCAUAGAGGGUGACAACCCCGUUCAUAACAUGGACCCCAGUGCUUUGUGAUACACUCUCGACGAGUCGAGUUGUUUGGGAAUGCAGCUCAAAUUGGGUGGUAAAUUCCAUCUAAAGCUAAAUAUUGGCGAGAGACCGAUAGCAAACAAGUACCGUGAGGGAAAGAUGAAAAGCACUUUGGAAAGAGAGUUAACAGUACGUGAAAUUGCUAAAAGGGAAACGAUUGAAGUCAGACGUGCGUGGUGCGGUUCAGCUCUGGUUCGCCAGAGUGUAUUCCGUGCCUUUGCAGGCCAACAUCGGUUUCACGAGGCGGAUAAAGGUUUGAGAAAUGUGGCACCUUCGGGUGUGUUAUAGUCUCUUGCUGAAUACGCCUCGAGGGACCGAGGAACGCAGCGCGCCGCAAGGCAAAGCCUCUGGGCUUUUCGCGCUUAGGAUGUUGGUGAAAUGGCUUUAAACGACCCGUCUUGAAACACGGACCAAGGAGUCUAACUGCUGCAGUUUUU